UAUGUAGCAUACCUUUUUUCUGUUAGCAAGUAUAUAGUUAACUAAGUUAUGUUAGAAAAUAGAAGAAAUAAAUGAUAACACUUGGACGACUUAGUCGCCUACACGGAUGCUUUAUUGCCUAAGUGCUUACACACCCGUUCACCCUUGGUUCACCUUGUUGCCUUGACAACUAUGAUGGAAUACCGUAUGAUCCUUUUUUUACCUAAUUUCUUCUUCCAUGAGUGAAUUUUAAUUAUAUAUCUAAGCUGUGUCUGACCUUUUCUCUGCUUAUAUAGAACUUCAUUGUCUUUUGGCUAUGAUGCACUGAAUUACUGUAAUUCAAAUUGAAACUUAUUAUGUUUAUUUUAUUGUUCCUUUUUUGACAAAUUUUAGAUGAUCAAAUGCUUCUGUCCAUACACCACCCCCUCAAAAAGUCAAAAAAUGAGAGCCUCCUUGUUGAUACUUUCUCAGACUGAGGAAGAUCUGGAUUGUUUAAAAUCCCAUCAUCACAGGUCAAAUGUCAUUGAAAUUUAAUCCAUCUAUUGUUUCCUCCAGACCUGCUAUGCAUGAUCCAGAUUACCUGCUUGACACACAUUAGAGUCAAAUGGCCAACCUUUGUUCCCUAACAUAUCUGCACCUCUUUAAGACAGAUUGAUUGUUAUAUUUGGACAGUCACAUCUUCCCUCAACUUGCGUCGUCCACUGCUCCCUCAACUUGCAUCCUCCAUUCACUAGUAUGACAGCUGCUGAGAAGCUACAUGUGUUGUUCUAUAUGAGAACAAAGGAGCCAUUCAUAUUUAAACUGCAGCACACAACAUCCUAAACCGUGUGUUGUUCUUGUUCACAGAUUCUCAAUGAAGGAAGAGAAGUAUUAUGGUUUCUGUGGUGGAUGAAUUCGCUUCCAAUUUAUAAUGUAUAUUUGAAAAUCUUGGAAUGUGAUAACAUGCUAACA